rnacentral:rRNA from 1 species
CGCGUAGGCGGGGGACCAAGUCCGGGGUGAAAUCUUUCGGCUCAACCGGAAAACUGCCUUGGAUACUGGUCUUCUUGAGGGAGGUAGGGGCAGGUGGAACUUCCGGUGGAGCGGUGAAAUGCGUUGAUAUCGGAAGGAACGCCGGUGGCGAAAGCGACCUGCUGGAUCUCUUCUGACGCUGAUGCGCGAAAGCUAGGGGAGCGAACG